AUCUAUAAAAGGAUCGUGGACAGGGGUCUGCGAAGAGAGGGGUUGUGAGGGAGGUAGCCGCUCAACCACACCAAAAUGCUUCCAGCAAAUCGCUUUCAAAACAUAAGUAGCAAAGCGCCCAGCAGGAGGAGCAGUCUCGCAAAAACUAACAACCCGAAAAAACAGCAACUUCUUUACACUGGAUACAUGACAUCAUAGCAGGACCCCCUUCAGAGCUUUUUUUUUUUUUAGGUAAAGGGACACACUGUGUAUCAGAAAAAGCCAAAUCUACUCUAUUCCUUGAACGCAGCCAUCAAGAAAGAUGGGAUGAGGAAGUGUUCCAGUGACUCACAUUAGAGACUAAACCAGUCAUGCCUCUGAUUUGUACUUGGAAGAUGCGUAUAGCAGAUUAGCAAGUCUCUCCAUGGAGCAAAGUCGAUUUCUGAUCUAUCUGUUGAGAAAAGAACUGGGGAGUUGAUCCUAUGCAACAACAUCCUAUGCAACAACAUACACGCUGUCCAUGUGAGGUUGAUGUCAGAGUGUUUCAUGGAACUUCAAAAGUGUUCUAUGGGUCUUGAAUGCACAAGCACACUCCAAUCCUCCUUCACAGAGGAUCGCGACAUGGAUCUAAAGAGCUGCUUGAGCUCUUCGGAUCCCCAAAGGAUGUAUCUGUUGAAUUCUUAUCUGCCAGGCAGUUGUUUGGCCAUGUCCACAGAACUUGUGAGGUUCUUCCCUCCCUUGAGCAGUCGGCAUUUCUAUGAGAGCACAAGCACACACCAGGUGCUCUAUCACAAACUGGGAUACUUGUGGAAGUAUCCCCCCCCCCAAAGUGGUUUGUUCCAUCACAGGGCAGCUUGGUGUUCAAAGACCAUAAGCCCAAAUCCAAAAUGGGGGGGAUGGCCACCAAAGCUUUAUUUUGGGGGGUGCAGAAUGUAUUAAGAUGUUUCCUUUCACAUCCAAGCCUGAAGAAGAGUUCUGGGAAACGUGAAAUCUUGCUCACUACUUGGUGAUAUUUUAGUUGGUCCUAAUAAAGAUCAUAUCCCUACUAUCA